AUUGAACGCUGGCGGAAUGCUUUACACAUGCAAGUCGAGCGGCAGCGCGGGGGCGAACCCUACGCGGCGAGCGGCGGAACGGGUAGGAGUAAUAACAUCGGAACGAAUGUCCAGUUGUUGGGGGAGUAGCCCGGCCGGAAAGACCGGAGUUAAUACCGCAUGAGCUCUGGCGAGGAAAGACGGGGACCCGGUAACGGGCCGUCGCGCGACUGGGUUGGCCGGAUGUCCGAUUAGCUAGUUGGUGGGGUAAAGGCGUCACCAAGGCGAUGAUCGGUAGCUGGUCUGAGAGGAUGAUCAGCCACACUGGGAC
rnacentral:rRNA from 1 species